CCCUUAGAUGUUCUGGGCCGCACGCGCGCUACAAUGAUGAAUUCAACGAGUUUAUAACCUUGGUUGAAAAGCCUGGGUAAUCUUUUGAACUUUCGUCGUGAUGGGGCUAGACCCUUGCAAUUAUUGGUCUCCAACGAGGAAUUCCUAGUAAACGCAAGUCAUCAGCUUGCAUUGAUUACGUCCCUGCCCUUUGUACACACCGCCCGUCGCACCUACCGAUUGAAUGGUCUGGUGAAAUCUUCGGAUUGAGACUUUGAUUUGUUUACUCAAAACGCUGUUUCAAGAAGUUGAUUAAACCUUACCAUUUAGAGGAAGGUGAAGUCGUAACA
rnacentral:rRNA from 1 species